UCGCUACGCUCCGGAACAUUCGGAAACUCAAGAGUAUUGUUAGAGUGUGGCGUUCGGUUAUUCAGAGUGCCACACUCUGGGAGUGCUGCAGCGCUCUCCCGCCGCUCUGACUGGGGAGACAGAGCAGCCAGAGCGUUAGGAUCCAGCCAGAAGUCCAGAGGGUCCUGAAUAAUUCCUGCAAAGCUGUAGUGAGACUGGAGCAUCUGAACCUGCAGCCGCUGGUGUCUCUGGUGCAACUGCCGUGCCAAAAACGAGCCGAGCUCUCUGAAGAAUACUUGGAUUGUCCAUGGCGGGUAUGAAAAUGAAUAAUAAUAAGCAUAAUAAUGAUGAUUCACGCCAUGAAAUUACAGUUUUCGAUGGUUUUCCAAAUCCAUCUGACAUCCUGGAGAAACAAGAGACAGAGGUGGGGGACUUGAGUCACAUGAGUUUCCAAUUUUGAUUUGACUUGGACUUGAACUAUGACUUGAGAAGUUUUGCCUGUUUACGUUUUGCCAUUGUUUAACAAGACAGUGUGUGUGUUUUUUGUGUGUGUCAUGCAUACAAACCUGGCAACCCAGUGCGAGGCCACCUCAUGAAGAAGGAGGACAGCACAACAACAUCCCGGCUGGAACCACUUCAUCCGGGCGGCUCUCCAAACCCGGAUCCACCAUAUAUCCUGGUUCAUUCCGGCAAGGCUGACACCUUCUACGUGGAUCCCAACCGGGAGAUGAUCAUGGUGCUUGAGCUGGAGCCAGAUAAGACACAAAAGACCAAAUGUGGAGAACCGUCUCCACCCCGGGAAGCGGUCCAAAACAAAGGAGGCGAGAAGAAGGAGAGUGAAGACUUCUGUGCCGUCUGUCUAAAGGGAGGAGAUCUGCUGUGCUGUGAUCUUUGUCCCAAAGUUUACCACUUGGCCUGUCACCUUCCUUCACUGCUCACCUUCCCAACGUGUGUCACUUUUAUUCCUAAAAAGAACUGAUAACAUUCUAACAUGUUAACAGUUGUUAUGCUAACAUAUAGCUAGAUGGCAACCGAAGGCAUAUCCAUCCAUUUUCUGAGCCGCUUCUCCUCACUAGGGUCGCGGGCGUGCUGGAGGCUAUCCCAGCUAUCAUCGGGCAGGAGGCAGGGUACACCCUGAACUGGUUGCCAGCCAAUCGCAGGGCACAUACAAACAAACUACAAUUCGCACUCACAUUCACACCUACGGGCAAUUUAGAGUUUUUCAAUUAACCUACCAUGCAUGUUUUUGGGAUGUGGGAGGAAACCGGAGUGCCCGGAGAAAACCCACACAGGCACAGGGAGAACAUGCAAACUCCACACAGCCGGGGCCGGGGAUUGAACCCCGGACCUCAGAACUGUGAGGCUUACACUCUAACCAGUCGGCCACCGUCCGAAGGCAUAUCGAUAACGAUUUUACAAAUUGCCCUGUUGUCAGGUACUGUUUCUAAUGCGACUGGAUCAAAUGCUAACAUGCUAACAGUUGGUACUGUAUGUCAAUAUUCAUAAUAAGAGAGCAACCUGAGUAGACAAAGCACUAAGGUAGAUUGAUAAGGAUUUUGCAGUUUUAGCUGUAGUCAGGUUUUUUUUCAAAUGAGAAUUCCUAAAAUGCUAACAGUUGAAAAUGCUAAGACAUAGCAUGAUAACAACCCAAGAAAGCGCCAAGGCUAAUUGAUUAGGAUUUAACAUACACCCCUUAGUCGGGCAUUGUUUCAAAUGAGAAUUGAUCAAAUGCUAACAUGACGUAUGCUAACAUAUAUAGCAAGAAAGAUAUUGGGUAUCAGAAAUGCUAAAAUGCUAACAGUUGGUAUGCUAAUUUAUAGCAAGAUAGCAACCUGAGUGGAGAAAGGGCUAAAGCAGAUCGAUAAGGAUUUUGCAUCUUGACCUGUAGUCAGUUGGCUACUAAUUCAAAUGAGUAUUGAUAAAAUGUUAAGAUGCUAACAGUUUUUUUUUCUAAAGUGGGGCCCUGCUGUCCUGUAAGGGUGACUGGGCAUGUACAUUGUGCAGGACUGACCACCACCCAGCCGAGAACCUCCGCCGUGAAGGAGUUGAAGCUCCCUAUGCUCUGUCCCACCAUGAUCAGAGGGUGACAAUGGCUUAGUGUAGAAUAACCUGCAAUUAUUGUAACUUAAUUUAGCAUAAUGUAACAUUUCCCUGUAUCACAGUGUAACAUAUUGAAUCAUAACAGCUUUGCGUAAUGUUUUGUAUUUUAACUUAUUGAAAUAUAUUGUAAGGUAACAUAAUGUAUCGCAACUUAGCAUAGCGCAACAUACUGUAUUGUUACUUAUCGUAAUGUAUAGACGCCUAAUGUAUUUCAUCAAAACUUAGCAUAAUUCAUUGUACCUUAUCAUAAUGUAUCGUCAAGUUUUUAAUACAUAUUGAAAUGUAACAAUGUGUCGUAACUUAGUGUAGCAUGACAUAAUUUAUUGUUACUUAUCAUUGUUAUCAUGUAUAUUUUUGGUAUUGUAACUCAGUGUAGCAUAAUGUAUUGUAUUGUUACUUACCAUAAUGUAUAGACACGUAGUUUAUCAUACCUUAACUCAAUAUACCGUAUUGUACCAUAACAUAAUGUAAUGUAGGAUAACUAAGCGUAGCAUAACGUAUUGUACUGUAUGUUAGCCUAGUACAAUGUAUUGUAAAGUAUCAUAAUGUACUGUAGCGUACUGUAACCAAUAUUAUUAUGUACAGAUGUAUGCAUUGUAGAUGCAUGUAAUGUAUCUUAACUUUGUGUAGCGUAAUGUAUCGUGGCAUAACAUCGUGCAGUGUGGUAUCUUGUAAUAAGGUAUCAUAGCAUAGCAUAUUGUAAUAGCAUACUAUAAUUACAAGCGCAUUGUAUCUUAGCGUACUGUUUCCUAUUGUUGCGGAAUAUGUAAUUUAUUAAAAUGGAUCAAAGCAUAACGCAAUGUAUUGUAACUUAGCGUAAUGUAUUGUUACUUAUCAUAAUGUACAGUACACUGUAGUAGCGUGAGGUAUUGUAUCGAAUCUUAGUGCAGUUUAAUGUUUAAUUUUAUUGUAACUUAUUCCACUUCGAAGGUUGGAUAGUAGUUUAGUUUGUUGCCUUUGAAAGUUCUCUCUACAGAGAUGUGAGAAGUUGACCUUACUGCUGUAUGUUCACCCACUAAGUGCUCCUUUCCACGAGCCUGUCAGCCGUGUGGAAGCUGGACAAGAGCAACACUCUGCACUACUUCGUGCCAGAGCACUUUGUCCAUGACGUCCUGCUCAUGCUCAAGAACUAUGCUACCUUUAACUACUUCUGCUCCGGCAUGCCCGCAGCCUGACUCGGAGGUGGCCCGGGCCGGUCGAAACCUGGAGGUGUUUUUCCUGAGCAAACUGAGGGAGAUUUUCCCCGACAGGACCUUCCCGUCGGCCAGCUGCAACAGGAUGGAGCGAGCUCGCCUGCGGUGGCGCCUCGAGGAAGAAGUGGGAGGAGGGAGGAAGGAAUGUGUGCUCACUGACAGCAACUCCAAAUACUAUAAAGAUGUAUGACCAAUAAAAUUACAGUUUUUACAACUUUUAAUACUGAUUCUAUUCAUUCACUCACAUCAUAGCUUAGUCUAAGGUUUU